UUAACAGAGAUGUGAUUGAUAGUGCUUAAAGAAGCCUGCAGGAGAAAGGCAGAAUCACUGCAGGGAGUCCAAGGUACAGCACAAAAGUAACAUCACACUGAAUUGGAAAAGAAGUAAUUUUAGAUGAGUAGGUAACUGAACUGCUUCUGAUAAGUUCCUAUGCUGCAGCUUUCCUAUGGAUAAAGACAAAACUUCCUGUUCAAGACCUAUAACCUGCUCAGUUUUGCAAAUGCUAAAUGCAGAACAAGUUGUGGAGGGGCAGGAACAAAGGUGACCCUUUGGAGUUUCAGUUGUUCUGACCUUCAGGGAUGGGUGUGACUGUGGAGCUCCUCACAUGGAUAUGUAAGAAAAUAAACUGAAAAUAAUCUCCCAACAUUUAAAAAACUUGAACAAAGAUCAGGAAUUUGAAGAGAGACUCUUUAUAUUAGCAAGGAAGAUCUAAGAAGCACAGUGACUUGAACUUAAUGUAAUAAUGGUUAGAGCCAGCUAUGAUGUGACAGAUAUUACUCAUAUUGAGUCAGGGGUACCUGUAAAUGUAAAUUACAUUGUGGAAGGCUUGAGGAGAUGCUGGCUUAGAGAGUCCAAGAUUUUCAAAGCAGCCCGGGGACUACUGAUACCUAUAAAGCAGCACAGCAGCUGCUGCAAAGCAGAAUUUCACAUCUAUUUAUUUGGGAAGGCCUCAUCCAAUGGUGCCCUAGAGAAUUGUCUUGGCAGAGAAGUACAGCUUCCAUCUGGAGACUUCUUGGUACAUAUAAACUACUUCGGGUGAUGUUAAACACAAGUCC